UACGGAGGGUGCAAGCGUUGUCCGGAUUUAUUGGGUUUAAAGCGCACGUAGGCGGACUCUUAAGUCGGUGGUGAAAUCCUGGAGCUCAACUCCAGAACUGCCUUCGAUACUGAGAGUCUCGAGUCCGGGAGAGGUGAGUGGAACUGCGAGUGUAGAGGUGAAAUUCGUAGAUAUUCGCAAGAACACCAGUGGCGAAGGCGGCUCACUGGCCCGGUACUGACGCUGAGGUGCGAAAGCGUGGGGAGCAAACAGG
rnacentral:rRNA from 1 species